rnacentral:rRNA from 1 species
UACGUAGGGUGCGAGCGUUAAUCGGAAUUACUGGGCGUAAAGCGUGCGCAGGCGGUUCGUUGUGUCGGCGGUGAAAGCCCCGGGCUUAACCUGGGAAUGGCCGUUGAAACUGGCGAACUGGAGUGUGGCAGAGGGGGGUGGAAUUCCGCGUGUAGCAGUGAAAUGCGUAGAGAUGCGGGGGAACACCGAUGGCGAAGGCAGCCCCCUGGGCUGACACUGACGCUCAGGCACGAAAGCGUGGGGAGCAAACAGG